CACCUGAGACUUGAAGAGCCGGUCCAUCGUACAUCAUCAAGCCAUACAUUAUGUGAAUCAAACAGUUGUCGCUCAGAGGGUUGGCAACUGAUGCGCAAACCGACUCACACGGAAGGGAAGAAAAAACGGCCGUGAGCCAGGCAACCCGAACAAGAAGCCUUACAACUAUAUCCACGUACACAUCCAAUCUUCAUGUUCGGCAAAACUACCGAAGCAUCUCCUCCUCCCGCUGCCUGUACCGCUCCAGGUUCCGCAUGUGCAGAACCUGUGUAACCGACUCCACCGCCAGGAUGUUAGCCAACUGUGACGGGCUCAAGAGCCCCAGCAGCCCCGACUCCAUGCCCAUCCCGGAAGCCUCAUCCGGCACUCCCAGCAUAACCACCAGCUGCGAGCCAGCCUGCGGAGACUCAGCGUCCGCUCCCAGCCCAACCAGCGAUACUCUCAGGCCGGCACAGCGCAUGACAACCUGGAAAGGAUACAUACAACGUAGCCGCGGCCGCGGCCCCUAUCCGGGAGGAGCUUAUCUGGAAGUGCUUGAAGAGCCCUUAUCGGAGCUGGAUAUGCCCUGAAUGUCUCCUCCUAUAUGCAGAAAGCCAGGUAGCUAGUAAAUACGCGUGGCGUCAGGUUCCCAUAGUUAGGUAUAUUGCCGCUGGCUGGCUGGCUGGCUGGCUGGGCUCAAAAGAUGCUCUGAUCCGCAAGUCAGAGGAUUGAUAUAUUGAUUUCGGGGUGGUGGAGCCAAUGUAGCUUUGCAGAUUUGUGGUGUUGGCCCGGGGCCCCAAAUGGCGCUUCCGCUAGAACUGACCAAUAAGCUAUGGACCAUUUUUAAGGCGAUUUUCAUUGUCAAUGAUGGUUAGGUCGGCUUUACCGGAGGAUGUGUGUGAACCCACAGAGAAUCCUAGGGUUCGAGGUGGUGGAACAGCUCGUGGACAGUACGAUGCUGGCCGUUGCAGAUGGAUUUCAUUUUUACAGCUACGGUCUCAUCAGGCUGCCAGCCUGGCCCGUUAGCUGUGCCAACCGCUUCUCAUUCGGCGGGUCGUGGCGCCCGGGGUGAGCUGCAGAGGCGGAGUUAUCACACAUGGGUCUGCUGGGCACGAAUGGCGUGCUGUGUGUGCUGGCGACCUACCGUAGUGACAGGAAAUGUUCGUGAUUUUAUUGUUCGAGACACCCUCAAAAUUACACCCGAAAUUAUUGGUGAAACUGUUGAAUUCGUGAGAAGCCAACGCAACCGAAGCAACGGUGCCUGCAAUAUUCGUUAAUGGGUCCGACUCAGAACGCCGAUUGACGCAAAAGCUGGCCAAUGCAUGCACGGUUAUUCUGCACACCAGCAAACACCAGAUUCCAGAUUAGUGUGCGUAGUCGGCAAGGCGCGCGGGGGCCCUCAACUGCCUGGCCGUUCGCCUCAGUCCGCAUUGAAGGAGGCUUUGUUGCUUAGGCCGCUUAGCCCUCGGAUCCAUGUCCGUUCAAUUACUAUGGAUGUAUAUAUGGCCAGAAAAGUGGAAUUUGUCGAGUAAUUACUGUGUUGAAGGCAUUAUACGAUUUGGCUUCGGAGCACACAUAUAUUCGUGACGACCAUCGCCUGGAACAGCUUGUAAUUUAUAUGUGACAUAAUUUCGUGAUGCCGUCACGAAAUUAAAAUCACGAAAAUUUCCUGUCACUACGGUAUUAGUUAAUGCGGGCUGGGUCCUACGAAUCAUUGGGUGGUUUUAUGCAUUUUGAUAUUGAUUUAAUGUGACACGAGUUUCAGUUGCUUAUCUUUGGUUCUGACUUAUAAUGGAUUUUCAUGGUCUUAGGGUUUUAGGGUUUAUGAUGUUUUCGUUGCCACUGCAGGCGUAUCGUUCUGAUUGUGCAAGUCCUUAACACAUGCUGUAUACGAUAGGUAUAGUUCAACUGAAACCCGGAGGCGUUAGUGAAGGUCGUUCACAACUCUGCUCGGUUAAUCACACUUGUACUCCACCGCCUUGCCGAUGCUGGAAGAAGCAGAUGUAGAUGAUGUCGGAAAUGCAGUUUUGCUCGAGUUCGUGCAUGAGGGCAAAACGUCCCUGACCUCCCCGACCGCCCACGAUCCUCCGGUCGAUUACUCAAGGAUAAAUUUUACUAAAAUUUUGCUUGGAUCGGGGCGGGAUUGCAUGGAUAGUCAGACAGGCCUUCAAGGAAUGCAGGACACAUACUACACAAGUCAGGGGGUUGCAAAAGGGGUCUAAUCCCCCAAUCCCGGGGGGUGGUAGUGGUCAGCCAUCCUCCCACACAAGUUGCCUUCCAUUUCCCUCGCCCCUAAAGCCCACAUACGCCAGCCCUGCUCCAGUUACUCCGGGAUCUCUGCAGCUCAUCAUCACUGCCAGCGCAAGGGACCCUGAACCUGGAGAACUGCUUUGGACCGAGUCAAAAAUGCAGUUUAGGGACGCGAUAGGAGGAGCCGAAUGCAGUUUUGUUUGAGUUUGCGCAUGAGGGCAAAAAGCCCCCGAUUGCCCACGCCACAUAGCUCCAUGCCACAAGAAUCAGGUUGAAUGGUGCUUAUAGGCGAUCUGGCAACCCUUGAGGAUGCGAUUGUCACAGUGGACCCCGAACGGGUCGAGUGCAGUGUUGUGCCUUAUUCGAAAGAACUCGGCCAGGCCGUACUAACUUCACUGGACACAAGGCCUCAGUUAGUACACUCAUACAGAAAAAAUGAGGCUCCGACGUGGGCCCUCAGACCUCGUCAUUGUACAUCGGUAAACGGCAAACAACCAUGUCUGCGUGGUUGACAUAUAAAAAAGGGUGGAUGUGAGGUAUUUGUUCCCAACGUUUUGGCAAAUAAUCCCGUGCCGCAAAAGCAGUUGAACGGGCCCAAAAAUCAGAGAUAACAUUGUAAGUAAUGCGGUUAAGCGAUGACGUUGAUAUAGCCAUGUUGGCAUGAAGACCCUCCCUAAACAACAAACGGCGACCGAGAUUGAGUGAGCUGAUGGCCGCGAGGCAAACAACCUCCCACACACACACACAAACCGAGGUCGGUGGAAUGCCCAACCACAAGUUAAACAGGUCUGGAAACUCUAGUUCAUUCUGCAGAGCCUCACGAAGAGCCAACGCGACAGUACAGUCCCAGAAAUGAUGCCGAUCCCCACAAACCAUGCGCAUACCACAGGGACACAAAGCAGCAGGGACGCCUCUUUGACGUUGCGCCCUAUGCAUAAGAAAGGCAGGGAAACCAUCAAGCGCUAGCCGCCAAAGGGCUCCCUUAUGUUCGUUAUCCCACCGAAGUCGCCACAUGCGCGACAGUGUCCGACGGAAGUCCAACAAGGUGUUGGCCAAGUUGUCCGGCGAUAAGACGAUAUCAACAGCAUCCAAAAUAAAAUCUUCAUGUUUUUGAUCAAGCGUCCGUAAAGAAAGUGCCAUUAAUAAAGUCGUCGCAAACUUGACUGUUAAUUGAGAGAAAUGCACUAACACUUGACCAAACCUCCAACCCAAGCUCUUAACAACUUUUCCAGGCCUCUUGCGGAGGCGGUAUUUCAUGGUUUCCGCCAUUCAUAGCCACUCUCGCCGCCAUGGUCCAUAGCGGGGGUAUGGGGUCGAUAAGUUGCGAUAUACGUGUUAUGGCAGUCGCCCCCGACUGACAAGAUGCCGGCAGGGGAUGCCUCUGGCCAGUCCUUACAUAGCAACGGCUGGCCUGCAAAUCCAGGCCGGCUGUGCCUCUCUAUUUUGCGCUGAAAGAAAAUUGCGUGACGACAAGUAAUAUCGACUCGGGUUUGAUCAGGGUCGAUGGCCAUUCAGCGAGGCCUUUGCACCAUCUUGGGAGCUUUGACCGAGGACCGAGGACCGAGGACCGAGGACCGAGGACCGAGGACCGAGGACCGAGGACCGAGGACCGAGGACCGAGGACCGAGGACCGAGGACCGAGGACCGAGGACCGAGGACCGAGGACCGAGGACCGAGGACCGAGGACCGAGGACCGAGGACCGAGGACCGAGGACCGAGGACCGAGGACCGAGGACCGAGGACCGAGGACCGAGGACCGAGGACCGAGGGAGGGACCAAAACACGCAUGGCCCAUUGGUGAGAAAAGCAUGGUACGAAAAUGGAAGUAGGACGGGCUUAUGUCUGCAUAUAUAAUAUUUCCGGAAAAUGUGAUGGCUGUGUAAUCUUCUAUUUUUUCUAAUACAUGUAUAGUGUCCACAUACAGUCAUUGCUCGUGAUUAACCUCUAUCCCAUUCCAGAGCUAUACCCUCUAAGUGUAGCAGAUAUAGAAUUGAGUACUUUUUUGAUACAGCAAUUCACAGGAGGAAAAAGUCCGCCUGUAGUCGGUUUAGGCGGAAAAUGUCCUAACACCCUUUCAGAGCCAUCCAUGGCGGUAUCUCCUAUUUCGUCCAUUGGAUCUUCGGAAAUCCCAGCUACACCAGCUGGAGCUUGGUAUGUAGCAUUCUCCUCCCGCACAUGUAUAUGCGUAAAUCAGACGUUUUAUGUUUUCUGGUCAUAAGAAUAUAUUUUUCAUUUAUGUCUUUUGUAUAUCUUGCAGUGAUAACGCAGCCAAGAUGUCCUCUGAAGGUGGCGGUCCCACGGAACCACCGCUGCCGCCCCCGGACCGAGGUCUAGCAGCAACCAGCAGGUAUUUCAAUACGGUGUAAUUUUGAAUAAAAAUUACACUAGAAGUUACAGUAUUGAAAUAUCUGUUGGUUUUUGCUGGAGCUCGGUCCGGGGGCGGCAGCGGUGGGCUCGAUGGUCCCGUGGGACCACCACCUUCUGGGGAGAUCUUCGCUGCGUUAUCACUGCAAGAAAUACAACAGACGUAAAUGUAAAACAUGCUUUCCUGACCAGUAAACAUGAUAUUUGAUGAGUGGGAAGAGAAAGCUACUUACCAUGCUCCAGCUGGUGUGGUAGUGGAAGAGCCAAUGCACAAAAUAGGCAAUAUCACCAUGGACGGCUCUGGAAGGGUAUUGGGAAAAGACAUUUUCCGCUAAACCUAUUAGGGGAGGACGUUUUCCUCCUGUAGUCCUCCUUUUUGCUGAAUCAAAAAAGUCGUCAAUUUUAUAUCUGCUUAGGGUACAGUUAGGGGGUGUAGCUCUGGAAUUGGAAACAGGUUGAUCAUGAGCAAUGACUGAGGCUGGUAUUUGGGCAUUAUAUACAUCUUGGAAAAAGAAGAUGAUAUCACAGCUGCCACGUCCCAUGGGACCAUCGACAAGCACCACCAAGGUCCAGCAGCAACUAUAGCAGGUAUUUCAAUACUGUACAGUGUAAUUAUAAUUUAUAGUAUUGAAAUACCUGCUGGUCGCUGCUGGAGCUAGGUCCGGGGGGUUGGCAGCAGUGGUGCUCAUUGAUGGAUCAAAACCUUCAUUAGAGGAGGUCUUGGCUUAUCACUGCAAGGUAUACAAAAGGAAUGGAAAUUGUUUUGAUGGCCAGAAAACAUGAUAUGCCUAAUUUACACAUAUACAUGUGCAGGAGGAGAAAGCUGGAGGUGUAGCUGGGAUAUGUCCUCUAAUAUCCUGAUGUGGCAAGGGAAGUGUCUAUCCUCCCAAAACACAAAUACUCACGCACACACAUACAGAUACACACAUCUCCCCCCCAUUUGCCCCCCUCCCUCUUCUCUUCCCCCCCUUCCCCCUCUCCCUCCCCCCUCCCCCCUGACUUGGUGCUGGCCAGACCAGGCCUCACACCCAGCAGGCAGCAGCAGCUCAUGGACUUGUGUGGCCUCAUGGAGGCAGCUGGUGGCAGCAGUGUGGAUGGCUUGGCACUGCCCGGUGCAUCAGGCCUCAUGCCCCGUGAGCAGCAACAGGUCAUGGACUUGUGUGGCCUUGUGGGGGCAGCUGGCGGCAGUGGCAUGGGUGGCUUGGUGCUGGCCGGCACAUACCCAGCAGGCAGCAGCAGCUCAUGGACUUGUAUGGACUUCUAUGGACACAUGGACUUCAAGAGUAUGGGUCUCAAAGCAUUCAAUAUUAACAUCUUAAGUCUAUGGGUGAGCAGGGGUGAGGUGGGACACUGGAAAUGGUAUGCAUGACAACGCUGCAUGCAUCAAUUGUGCAGCUUUGGUGUGAGUUGUGGGACAACAUCCUUUCUGGCCACUACCCACCCGCUUACUUUGCAGGUGAAUCUACCCACUGAACCUUGCACAAGGAGAGGUACCUGCUUAUGCAGCGCAUCACUGGCGUGCACAUCAUGCUCCUCUACUAUGGUGGCUUUCUUACCUGAUGCUGUGCAGGUGGGUAUAGUUUGAGGUCCGAUUGGAUGUUUCCACCUGUGAAGCCAGGUGGGGAUGUCAUGCCAUGUGGAAGACAAUGUUAUCGACUGACCCAGCCACGGUGGAUGCCAUUGGUUUUAUGCAUAUUUCCCCCAUACUUUCUCACCCAUGUCUUAACCUAAACAUACACACCGUCAGGUACCUGGACACUGUGCGGUGCUUCAACAUGGUGCUGCUGUGCAUUUAUGAGGACAAGAGUUGGUAUCACAACGGCCCGCAGUUUGAGCUAAAGAAGAACGAGCAGAUGUACCAGCUGCUGGCCAUCUGCGUGGUGCUAUGUCCUGUGGUGGCAAAGAGCGUGGAUGAGAUGCAGUUGGGUGGAGGAGUGAGGGUGUAAGCCAGUGGGAAUUGGUAAUUUGGGAAAGAUACACUACUGAUUCCUGUCAAACAUGCGUGUGAGCACAACCUUUCGAGGGUGAGCUAGACAAUCUAGUGCUGAAGGUGGUGAUAAAGCAGUCGUUAUGGGUUUUGUAACACAGCAAAUGCAUAACCCGGGAUGCUCAAAUUUGCUUUGCGUCGCUACAUUGCCCCCCGCUUAGCAAGGGACAUCCUCGGCCAUUAUUACGAGCGUUGGAGCCAUCCCACCUCACGCAUUGUGCGCUGGUUUAUCGAUUACACCAUGGAAAAGCCAAUAUGUGAUAACUACUAUAUGCCGGAAUCGAAUCGCCAACCCGAAAUUUUCAUGGGGCUUCGUGCGGCCCCAUCUCGGGGAUACGCAGAUUGGCUUUGAGACGUUCUAGGUAGUGUAGGAUAUUAGAUAGGCUCUGUAGUCUUCCACAUGAUGUCUUUCAUGCAAAUACAUGUUAGACAACUGACCCGUGUUUCACGUGGGCGCGAGUACAACCUUUCAAGGCGGAGCGAGACAAUCAACACUUCCUUACAUCAUUUGCUGGGAAGCUGCUUGGUAUGUGUUUGGAUUGGAUGUACAGGACAAGGCAAAGCCUGAGCCAUGAAAAAUCACUUUCAUUCUUACUGCCCAAAGGUGUAAAUGGGGUGGUCACGUGCAGAGCACGCCUUCUGUAGGCAACCUCUUGCAAUUAUAAAAUCUCUUAUGGCCUGUCUGUACCGAUUUUGCAACCGAACCCAUAUACCACUGUAGUUGUUAUGACUUGUCUGGGUCCUGUAUGAGAUUAAUACUUGCACCUGAGACUUGAAGAGCUGGUCCAUCACAAUCAUCAAGCCAUCCAUUAUGUGAAUCAAACAGUUAUCGCUCAGAGGGUUGGCAACUGAUGCGCAAACCGACUCACACGGAAGGGAAGAAAAAACGGCCGUGAGCCAGGCAACCCGAACAAGAAGCCUUACAACUAUAUCCACGUACACAUCCAAUCUUCAUGUUCGGCAAAACUACCGAAGCAUCUCCUCCUCCCGCUGCCUGUACCGCUCCAGGUUCCGCAUGUGCAGAACCUGUGUAACCGACUCCACCGCCAGGACGUUAGCCAACUGUGACGGGCUCAAGAGCUCCAGCAGCCCCGACUCCAUGCCC
rnacentral:lncRNA from 1 species